UCUGCCUACGGGACGCAGCAGUAGGGAAUCUUCCACAAUGGACGAAAGUCUGAUGGAGCAACGCCGCGUGAGUGAAGAAGGGUUUCGGCUCGUAAAGCUCUGUUGGUAGUGAAGAAAGAUAGAGGUAGUAACUGGCCUUUAUUUGACGGUAAUUACUUAGAAAGUCACGGCUAACUACGUGCCAGCAGCCGCGGUAAUACGUAGGUGGCAAGCGUUUUCCGGAUUUAUUGGGCGGAAAGCGCG
rnacentral:rRNA from 1 species